GAUACCCUGGUAGUCCACGCCGUAAACGAUGAGUGCUAAGUGUUAGGGGGUUUCCGCCCCUUAGUGCUGCAGCUAACGCAUUAAGCACUCCGCCUGGGGAGUACGGUCGCAAGACUGAAACUCAAAGGAAUUGACGGGGGCCCGCACAAGCGGUGGAGCAUGUGGUUUAAUUCGAAGCAACGCGAAGAACCUUACCAGGUCUUGACAUCCUCUGACAAUCCUAGAGAUAGGACGUCCCCUUCGGGGGCAGAGUGACAGGUGGUGCAUGGUUGUCGUCAGCUCGUGUCGUGAGAUGUUGGGUUAAGU
rnacentral:rRNA from 1 species